AUGGAGAGCGAGGAUCAAGAAGGCGCCAAUGAAGAGGCCAUCUUGCCCGCCUCCAUGUGUCCACCUGCUCAUGGACAAGACGGCGAUUCAUGCGGUAGCUUCGUCCUCCUUGACUACACGGCCUACUUCGCCGACCGCUCCUACGCCACCACCGCAUCCUGCAAGAUGAGGGAUGGCAAGGGGUUCAUCCACGUCACCUUCUACGCCGCCGCCCCACCGCUCGUAUCCUAUUUCUGCGUCCACUUCACAGGCGGUCUGAAGCUCUCCCAUUUUGCAACGGAGCCCGAAAUUGUCGACUCGGAGGGCGGCAUCGUUCUCCUCCGCGCCCCCCUGGGUGAUCAAUACCAUAGCUUGGACCAUGACAUCAGUGAGUACUUCAUCUAUCACGUCGGCGCCAUGGGGGAGGACCCAUCCCUCACGCAACUCCCGCACCCCAGACCCUACGAACUCCUCGACCAUCAAACCAGCAUCAUGCGCCACUGCGCCAACGACUACCACGACUGCAGCCAUUGUAAAUACACCAUCGCCUCGCUCAUACCCCACAUGGGAAAAUCAUACCACCUCGUGUUGUUUCGCUCCGAUGCCAUGGCCUGUAGCAGGCAGACCAUCCUGCUGGCCGUAAAGAAUGCGCGCCCUCACGCAUCAACUUCCAUGACGAUCACCAUCGGAGGAAAGCGUGGCACGAUGGGCUGGGUUGACCUCUGGCGGGGCAUCCUCUUCUGCGACGUGCUCACCGCGGAUGGACAACACACACUUCGCUUCGUCCCGCUGCCACCGCCUCAUGUUGAAGACAAGGUUUUCGAUAGGAUUUCUCGGGACAUUGCCGUCGUCAAUGGUGUCAUCAAGUACAUUGGGCUGCAGGUUCGUGUUGUCCCAGGUUCAUCCUUCGGCUGCGGCGCCUACACCUUAGAUGGAUGGUCACCUGCGCAAUGGAGCAUGCAGAUUACAGACACAUUGUCGAAAAAGUUUAAGUUGGACUAUGUUCUUGAUGCCUCCGACAUACCUGAUACGCUAAAGCUGAAGGUUGAUGCAGGUACUGCUCAGCCAACACUGAAGACGCUACACAUAGGUCAGCCCAUCCUGAGCCUGCAAGAUGAUGACAUUGUUUAUUUGCUCGCUAAGGUCGACCAUCGGGAUGAAGACUGCAACGGAUGGGUGCUUGCUGUCGACACCAAGAGCAAGAAGAUAAGGGGAGUGUCUGAGUUUGGCGUCCAAAGAACUUUGGGGUUAUCACUUGUUUACAUCGCAAGUCGGAUCUCUGAAUAUCUCAAAGUUACUCCAGGUAAUCAUAUUAUUGCAUCCUAUAGCUAG
rnacentral:rRNA from 1 species